GACGAACGCUGGCGGCGUGCUUAACACAUGCAAGUCGAGCGGUAAGGCCCUUUCGGGGUACGACGAGCGGCGAACGGGUGAGUAACACGUGGGUGACCUGCCCUCCAGCUCUGGGAUAAGCCUGGGAAACCGGGUCUAAUACUGGAUAUGACUCCAUGACGCAUGUUGUGGGGUGGAAAGCCUUGUGCGGCUGAGGAUGGGCCCGCGGCCUAUCAGCUUGUUGGUGGGGUGAUGGCCUACCAAGGCGACGACGGGUAGCCGGCCUGAGAGGGCGACCGGCCACACUGGGACUGAGACACGGCCCAGACUCCUACGGGAGGCAGCAGUGGGGAAUCUUGCGCAAUGGGCGAAAGCCUGACGCAGCGACGCCGCGUGAGGGAUGACGGCC
rnacentral:rRNA from 1 species